GUUGAUACACUAAUUCCCGUAUGAUCACCGAAGUUAAGCAAUGUCGAGCCUUGUCAGUGCCGAUGUGUGUGACCACUUGGGAAUAACACGUACUGUAAG